rnacentral:rRNA from 1 species
UGCCCAACAGCUAGCCCACCCAAACAACUUCAAUUAACCAAUAUUUACUACCCCCUUAUAUCCUAAAACCAAUUAAACAAAUCAUUUCAUUUCUCUAGUAUAGGCGAUAGAAAAAG